CGAACGGUAGCACAGAGAGCUUGCUCUCGGGGCAGGCCUAACACAUGCAAGUCGAACGGUAACAGGAAGCAGCUUGCUGCUUCGCUGACGAGUGGCGGACGGGUGAGUAAUGUCUGGGAAACUGCCUGAUGGAGGGGGAUAACUACUGGAAACGGUGGCUAAUACCGCAUAACGUCGCAAGACCAAAGAGGGGGACCUUCGGGCCUCUUGCCAUCAGAUGUGCCCAGAUGGGAUUAGCUUGUUGGUGAGGUAACGGCUCACCAAGGCGACGAUCCCUAGCUGGUCUGAGAGGAUGACCAGCCACACUGGAACUGAGACACGGUCCAGACUCCUACGGGAGGCAGCAGUGGGGAAUAUUGCACAAUGGGCGCAAGCCUGAUGCAGCCAUGCCGCGUGUAUGAAGAAGGCCUUCGGGUUGUAAAGUACUUUCAGCGGGGAGGAAGGUGUUGUGGUUAAUAACCGCAGCAAUUGACGUUACCCGCAGAAGAAGCACCGGCUAACUCCGUGCCAGCAGCCGCGGUAAUACGGAGGGUGCAAGCGUUAAUCGGAAUUACUGGGCGUAAAGCGCACGCAGGCGGUCUGUCAAGUCGGAUGUGAAAUCCCCGGGCUCAACCUGGGAACUGCAUUCGAAACUGGCAGGCUUGAGUCUUGUAGAGGGGGGUAGAAUUCCAGGUGUAGCGGUGAAAUGCGUAGAGAUCUGGAGGAAUACCGGUGGCGAAGGCGGCCCCCUGGACAAAGACUGACGCUCAGGUGCGAAAGCGUGGGGAGCAAACAGGAUUAGAUACCCUGGUAGUCCACGCCGUAAACGAUGUCUACUUGGAGGUUGUGCCCUUGAGGCGUGGCUUCCGGAGCUAACGCGUUAAGUAGACCGCCUGGGGAGUACGGCCGCAAGGUUAAAACUCAAAUGAAUUGACGGGGGCCCGCACAAGCGGUGGAGCAUGUGGUUUAAUUCGAUGCAACGCGAAGAACCUUACCUGGUCUUGACAUCCACAGAACUUUCCAGAGAUGGACUGGUGCCUUCGGGAACUCGAAGAACCUUACCUGGUCUUGACAUCCACGGAAGUUUUCAGAGAUGAGAAUGUGCCUUCGGGAACCGUGAGACAGGUGCUGCAUGGCUGUCGUCAGCUCGUGUUGUGAAAUGUUGGGUUAAGUCCCGCAACGAGCGCAACCCUUAUCCUUUGUUGCCAGCGAUUCGGUCGGGAACUCAAAGGAGACUGCCAGUGAUAAACUGGAGGAAGGUGGGGAUGACGUCAAGUCAUCAUGGCCCUUACGACCAGGGCUACACACGUGCUACAAUGGCGCAUACAAAGAGAAGCGACCUCGCGAGAGCAAGCGGACCUCAUAAAGUGCGUCGUAGUCCGGAUUGGAGUCUGCAACUCGACUCCAUGAAGUCGGAAUCGCUAGUAAUCGUGGAUCAGAAUGCCACGGUGAAUACGUUCCCGGGCCUUGUACACACCGCCCGUCACACCAUGGGAGUGGGUUGCAAAAGAAGUAGGUAGCUUAACCUUCGGGAGGGCGCUUACCACUUUGUGAUUCAUGACUGGGGUGAAGUCGUAACAAGGUAACCGUAGGGGAACCUGCGGUUG
rnacentral:rRNA from 1 species